rnacentral:lncRNA from 1 species
AGUUGUAACCGAUAGACUGGGCUGGGGCAACGCUGAUGAAAGGCAAAUUCCUGAGAGAAAAAUCACCCAGAUUUUUCAGUGCCUUCUCUAGCUUUCUAGAAGUUGUUAUGAGUGGACCUGACUACCUAGAGAGAGUAAUACAGAAGCUCCGUGCCGAUCACAGCUACCUCAUUACCAUGUUCCUCCAAGAUGGCCGCCCCUGAGGAGAAUCAUCAACUGGGCUUUACGGAAGAGAGAAAUCCAAACGACCAUCAGCAACAAAUGAAAGACUGAAGUUGAAAGGCAAGUCUUCAGAUUUGAAGAAAUCCAUAAUUUUUGAAUGCUGGCCGAGGUCUGUGACCUCUGACUGAAUGGUUUCCAAGCUCCGAAUUCCUAGGUGAUGUUUUCAUUUGUUCACACUUGCUGAAGAAGGGAAAGGCUCUCUGAUUUACGUGUAAGCAAAACAAUCUAAACAGUAGGAUAAAAUCAUGUUGGAAUGGAGUUCUGUGUGGAUGCUCCUUUGAACCAAAUCAGUUCCACAACUGACCCUGUCAGGGACAUAUAAAUUUAGCAUUUUGGUGUGGAUACAGAAGACGAGAUUAACACAGAUCAAGUAACAUGGAAAUAAAAAAGGAGACAAUGCUGGAUGAUACAGGGGCAGCCAACAAGAGGAGAAAACCCAAGCAUUGGCAAAUGCCUCAUUAUCCAAAGAACACUGGGCCUCAGAGUAUGUCAGCUGGGGUCAGACGGGAACAGGAGUCUGGCUCAACACACAUUUAUUGCACUCCUGUUUCAUGCCAAGAAAUGUACCAAAAUCUGGGACUGUGUAACACAGCAAAGGAAAAGACUCAUCUCCAGGAAGCCCCCUUGUCUAGGAAGAGAAAUUGAAUAUCAGCAUAAGGUGGUGAAAAGCUGUGAAGGAGAUGAGUGCCAGGAGUCCAUGGAGGAAGGAUUCUAGCCUGGACAGGUGAGGAAUGGCUUUCUGGAAGAAGCAGAUGCCCCAGCUGAACUUUAAAAUGCCCAUGUGAAAUGAACUGUCUGUAUCUUCAAUCAGCAAAUGGAGUAGGUGGCCACUGUUUAAUUCUGGAAUGGGGAAGUGUAAAGGUGUGGUGUGUGUGUUUACCCCUACUUAGGGAUUCAAAACAGACAGUAAAGAACAAAAGUCUAGCCCUUUGAGCAUUCUCCAUGGGACAUUUGAGGUCUAGCUGGCCCCAGAGAAAGAGAGACAGAAGCAAGGUCAUAUCCAUUUGAGAAAAUCAAAGUGUCUGCUCCAAUUGAGUCUGGUGUCCUUAUUCCUGGAAUAGCCAUCCCUACUGCUCUGGUGCUGAUUUACCUCCGGCAGUUCAGUGCUUCCUGGAAGGUAGGCUGGGCUUUUUAACAAAGUGACUCCUUACUUGACAUGUUUUACCCAAACACAGAGGCCACUGCACUAUGUGCAAGAAACAACAAAAAAUUAAA